CCACUGUGGAACGUGGUACAAAAGCCAGGUAACAUCAGUAUGGCAGCACCAACAGGAGGAAGCUGGACAGACCUCUUCACUUGGUUCUCUAAACAGAGACCAAGCCAAGAAAAAGGGAGGGACUGUGUAAAUGAUCCUCAACCAGUCAUUCUUCUUCAGUGACUGAAAACCUCAAGUCUGGCAGCACCCGUUUCUUUUGCUAAAGACCACCAUCUGGAGUGAAACUGCCUCAUCCCAUCAGCAUCAGGGCCCUCAUUAUUCUCAACAGGGCCUUUUUUUUCAUGUGUCUGAACUCCCACAGACAAUGCAAGAAGUCUAUGUACAAGCCCAACCCAGACACCAGAAUAAUGCUGGCUUGUGCCAUCCAUGGUCAGAUGCACAGACACCUGCGUGACUGUGCCCCCAGCUCCCACAGGCUGGAGGUAGGAAAGGGCCAGAAGGAUGCCUGAGUACAGCUGAGCAUGGUUGUAGCUGAGACGCAGCCCCUCACAUCUAUCAUGUUGGCAGAGCAAUCCCAUCUGAGCAGAAACACCUGGAAAUCAAAGCGCAGCGCAACACUGUUGGUCCUACAAUGCCGGCCCCAUAGUUAUCACAAAAGGAGGUGGGCUAAUCUUGCCAGCACAGCUUGCCUGCUCUCAGCCCCACACUCUGAUCUGCUUGCCACUACGUCCCUGAUGCUCCAAACAGCAGAGGUUAUAAUGUUGGCAGAGCUAAAGCAGAGUUGAAGCUGUGUUGCUAUUGAACAUGAAGAACUAGCCAUAGAAAUAGAGGCAUCAGGAUGGGGAGGGGACACAAUGACAAAGAAGCCGCCAGAAGGCAAAGGGGAAGGAAUGUAGAAGAGCCACAUUCCUCCUACCCGCCCGCAACCGCCCCGCACCCCAUUCCUCUUGAGCAGUAGCUACACAAGUAACUAGCCAGCCACUUCCCUGAACACUAGGGUUUCUGGAGUACUGCUCAGUGCCUGGUAUUAGGACACUAAGAGGAUAGUUGUUUCUGAUAAAAUGGGGAAGCGGAAAGAAUCUUGAGAGAGGUUUCAGAACAGAAGCCAGAUUUGAGCAGGGUGCAGCCCUCAUCUGUGUGGUCCAGCACGGUCACGGAAGCCCCAGCAAUUA
ensembl:lncRNA